GCUCUCCCUCUGUUUAGUUUGCACUGGUGGGUUGUGGGGAAUUGAUGCUAAGAAAGGAAAGCUUUGAAAAAAAUGAGAAUUUGAAAUAUGAAACAAAAUGACAAUUCUGUAAGAUCUAAAAGUAUCUGUUUCAAUAAUCUUAACUACCUGAAAUGUAUAGAACUAAACUGAGAUGCCAUUAAGGAACUCAGCUACCCAGUGGUAAAGCUGGUAAAGCUGGGAGGAUUGAUGGAACAUUGCUAGUAGCCAUUACUGGAGAAGUAACAACAUAAGUGAAUCUUCAAACACCUGCAAGUUAAAAUUGCAUACUUAAUCAGUAUGCCAGUUAUUAAGCUAUUGACUUUCACUCUUAACUUGGCUUGCUUUUUUAUUUUUUUUUUAAUUUUUUUUGAGAUGGAGUCUUGCUCUAUCACCCACGCUGGAGUGCAGCGGCGCGAUCUCGGCUCACUGCAAGCUCCGCCUCCCGGGUUCACGUGAUUCUCCUGCCUCAGCUUCCCGAGAAGCUGGGACUACAGGCGUCCGCCAUCAUGCCCGGCUAAUUUUUAUAUUUUUAGUAGAUACAGGGUUUCACCAGGUUGGCAAGGCUGGUUUCAAACUCCUGACACCAAGUGAUCCGCCUCGGUCCCCCAAAGUGCUUGGAUUAUUGGCAUGAGCCACCGCUCCUGGCCUGAACUUGGCUUUCUAAACUCCGUUUUGUGUUGCUGGGAUUUGGACUAUGGAAACCUCAGUUUCUCAUUCAACAACUGGUUCCUUGCGAUAUUCUACCGACAGGGAGACAUAGAAAGAGAUGGAAAGAUGAAAAAGAAAAGACAUGCCCUGUUUGUUUGUUAUGCUUGUCAACAUUGCCUCUGCAAUAUCCCUUCAACUUUUUACUAAUUCCCAUUCUAGCGUUUUUCGUAUUCUCGGCACCAGCUGGACAAUGCCAUCGCCAUCCCCCCAGAGGUUUUACCUGUCUCCUGUUCUCGUUGCUUCUGGACCAAUAAUUAAGAUUGACUCUACAUGGCCCAAAUGAAGAAAUGAAAGGAAAUGGAUCAUUCACCAAAGGAUCUGCAGAACUUUGCUAAUAUUUACCAGAAGUAACCAGAAGGAUAUGCAAGCGUAUCCUGAUCAUCAUCUACUAGAACAGCAAGAGAAGGGAAUGAAUAGAGGGAUACAAGUGAAAUAAGAUGGAAGAGAAAGGGGAAUAAAGAGAAGAAAUGAAAAAAAUCUUUUUGCGAG